GUCUACGGCCACGCCACCCUGAACAAGCCCGAUCCUGUCUGAUCUCAGAAGCUAAGCAGAGUCAGGCCUGGUUAGUACUUGGAUGGGAAACCACUUAGAAGACCAGGUGCUGUAGGUG
rnacentral:rRNA from 1 species